rnacentral:rRNA from 1 species
CAGUAGCCGCGGUAAUACGGAGGGCGCGAGCGUUACCCGGAUUUACUGGGCGUAAAGGGCGUGUAGGCGGCCUGGGGCGUCCCAUGUGAAAGGCCACGGCUCAACCGUGGAGGAGCGUGGGAUACGCUCAGGCUAGAGGGUGGGAGAGGGUGGUGGAAUUCCCGGAGUAGCGGUGAAAUGCGCAGAUACCGGGAGGAACGCCGAUGGCGAAGGCAGCCACCUGGUCCACUUCUGACGCUGAGGCGCGAAAGCGUGGGGAGCAAACCGGAUUAGAUACCCCAGUAGUCCCUGUCUCUUAUAC